rnacentral:misc_RNA from 1 species
CCAUUAACCUUAACUGAGUAAGUAACUAUUGAUACACAUUCCAUAAUCCAAGAUAUCCAUGUAUCAUGAGAACCAAAGCAUUGCAUCAUAUGCCAAAGAUAGCCCCAUUCAAUACACUCAUAAGCUUUGCUUAUAUCAAGCUUUAAUGCCAUCCCAUAGUUCCUUCCUUUCUUCCGCAUUUUGAGAUUAUGCAUGAGCUCCUGAUUAAUCAAGAUAUUAUCUGAGAUCUGCCUUCCCUUGAUAAAAGCACUUUGCUCCUCCCCAAUUAUGGAAUCCAUAAAGCCUCGUAGCCUUGAAGUUAGAAUUUUUGUAAUGACUUUGUAGAGAACCGUACAUAGUCCAAUAGGACGCAAAUCCUUCAUGGUUUGCACUUGAUUAAUUUUUGGAACAAGUGUAAUGACUAUGUGAUUCACAUUUCUGAGCAUUAUCCCUUCCUCAAAAAAAUUCUUUAUAGCCAAAGUGAUAUCAUCUCCAAUAAUUGGCCAAUCUGUUUGAAAGAAUCUACCUGUGAGCCCAUCUUCUCCUGGGGCUUUAGUGGGAUUGAUAUAAAGGAUUGCUUUAUAAAUCUUAUCCAUUGACAUUGGUCGUAUUAGCUGAAUAUUCAUAUCAUCUAUAACUCUCCUGUGGAAACCUCUAGUAAAGACUGAGAAAUUUGUUGGCCUGCGGGUGGAAUAUAUGUCAGCAAAAUAAUCCACUGCUAUAUUCUUAAUACCAACUAGAGAGUGUCUCCAUACACCCCUUUUGUCUUUUAGGCCAUAGAUAAAAUUGCGCUUCCUUCUCUGAAUUAAUUUGGCAUGAAAGAGAGGUGUUUUUAUCACCAAGGUGAAGCCAAUUUUGUCUUGCCUUUUGGGCCCAAUAUUGCUCUUCUCUGUUAAUUUCAACCACAAGCUCAUCCUCAAUGUUUUUAAUUUUUCCUGACCCAUUGCAUUGCAUAUUCCAGGCUGAAGAGAUGACAUUGUAAGCUUCUGGCAUCCUGAUCCAUCUCUCAUCAAAAUAAAAUUGACGUUUAGCCUUGGGAAAUGAUGGGUCCAUAUCAACAAGGAUAGGACGGUGGUCAGACCCCUUGUGCUGUAAAUGAUGAACGAUAAUGUGCUGGUAAUGGAAGAGCAGAGCAACAGUUGCACAAACCCUGUCGAUUCUUUCUUUAAUGUGAUUGUUCCCAUGACGCCUGUUAUUCCAUGUGUAAGAAGGACAACAAAACCCAAGUCAAUUAAAGAAAAAGCAUUCAUCCAAUUUCGAAAAUGCACUGUCUAAUGAUUUCUUACUCUCUCCCCACUUUAUUGCUCAUGAGGGUAUAGGAGAGAGUUGAAAUCACCAGCAAAUAAGACCACCCUAUUGAUAUUCUCCUUAUAGUUUAUUAAAUAGAUAAACUGCUCAUUCCUUUCUUCCUCAUCUACACUGAGAUAACAAAAGAGUAAAUCCCAUUCCAUUUGUAAACUUUGGUCCGAAAACCUUACAUGAAUGAAGAAGGAUUUAGAAUUUACAAUGAGCAUCAUACAAUCAUCCUUCAAACCUAAAAAGAGACCACCCGAUAGGCCUAUAGGAUUUACUAGGAACAUAUUGUGAAAGCCACAACUAAGCAUUUUCUUCCUAACCACUUCUUCCUUAUUCUUUGUUUCCAUGAGGAAGACCAUGCCUGGGGAAUGGGUUCGGCACAACCCUUUUAAGUGGUGAAUUGUCAAGGGUUUCCCCACACCUUGACAAUUCCAGCACAAGAACUUCAUUGAUUCACCUGGGGCCAUUUUCGAUGGCCUCCUCCACCAAUUUAGGGAAUGCAACAUCAUAACAUGGUUUUUUGGAAGAUAAAAGUUCAGUAGUUCUCUCUCUACUCCUCUUCACCAGAAGGCGAUUCUCUAUUCCAUGUUCCUCUUUUCCUCUACUAGCAUCAUUAGCUUCCAACUCUGUAAUUAUCACUCCAGAAUCAUUGUGAUUUUGCUGUCUGGCUAGCUUCUUCCAUUUGAACUUCAGUGGUUGUUUAGUUCCAGUUCCAGGUGCUCUUGGCUAUAGAUCCUUGGCAGUAAUUGUGUUAGUGGAUUUCGAUGGAAGUAACUCUGUUGCAAUAUGUAUUAAGUCAUCCAAAGGUAUGACUUAUGAGAGCUUCAGGCCCAAGAGACUUGUCAUUUGGUACAGCUAUGGGUUGGCAAUUUUUGGAUAUGGUUUGCUUCCUUCGGAGCCAACUUUUAGUUUGGGUGUCUUUUGGGUUGGGCUUUGGUGGUAAGAUGGGUUUAGUUGUUUGGUUAUAGCCCGAUUCAGAAGGUUGUUUGGUUUUAAAGGAGAAAAACUCUUGAUGGUCUUGGGGAUGUUGUGACGCUAGCUCGUUGGGGUUUGGUACCUCUUGGGGAAAAAGGCACUCCUCUUUACCAGUGAAAGGAAAGGAGCUAUUGUCAGUGGUAAUGGAGGGUGGGUUCUGUUCACUCUCUAGGAAUUGGGUUUUCCUUGAGCCUUGAGCUGUCAAGACAUUAAAAGCUAUAGUUUGGAGGUGAUCCACCAAAUAGAGAUAUUUCUUGAAGAAGGCAGUAGUGUUGACAUGAUGAAUUCCCAAAGUAGCUAGGUAUUCCUGGAAGAACGCUAGCAUUUCAUCUCGAAAAAAGGGCUCUGGCCGAAAGAUGAUAGGAGGAGCAGGUUUCGGCACAUCCUCCCAAGAUUUACAAAAAAUGGUACAGUUUGAAGCUUCCUUGCUUUUGCUAGAUCCCUCCAUCGUUGAUUUGCUUGAAAAGGUAAAGACAUCAUUUUUACUUGUAAUGUGUAAAUGUCCAGUGGUAAGGAUGGUUGCAUUUUGGCCAUCUGGAAUUCUUGGUUCUUGGUUUGGAUGAGGGGUGUCUUUUAUGAGAAGGGUAGUGGAGACAUUGGUGGUUAUUAGUUGACUGGUUGGUGUAUGAGUAAUGGACGAAUGUUUCUAUUGUGCUAUGAAACUUGUUUUGGGUUCUGGGUUUGGCAUGAUUUCAAUUUGGGAUAUUGUCUUUGCAGGUUUGUGCUUCAAGGGGUUGGCUUUAAGCCAAGGACCAUAUCCAGAUUUUGAGUUGAGGUAUUUCCGGCAAGAAGUUGGGGUUUAGGAUUUGGACAAUUCUUUAUCAAAUGCCCUAUGAUGCCACAACCAUAGCAAAUGUCAAGAAGUUUUUCAAUUUUGAAAUGGACCCAAUGCUUACUACCAUCUUUUUUUUUAUUUUGAAACCCCAUAGGAAAGGGUUUGUGUAGAGGUAUUGAAACUCGAAUUUGUAGCAUGUCCAAAUAUCCCAAGUUGCCUUCAUGAGUGAAAUCUGCUUCUUGAUACUUACCAAUGAGCUCACCAAUGAUCCUAGCAUUCUGCAUGUUAAUAUGGUUUGGUAGAAGGCCAUAUAUCUGGAUCCAAAAAGAAGGGUGUGUGAAAGUGAGUUCUUCCAGAGACUAAUCUGGUGACCAUUCCCUUAUGGACAGAAGUUGAUUCUGUACUGACCAAGACCUAUUAUCAAGCAAAUACCUUGCAUCCACCUCAUGUGCAAAAGAGAAUAAAAAGAUAUUGUUUCUUUUUGCAGUUACUCGGAACCCCCUUCAGGUAUGCCAAGACUUGGACAAGGCUGCCUUAAUAGUGUUGAUACUAAUGCUUUUUUUCUAUAAUAAGUUUCCCCACCAAGAAGUAUUUUUGUUCUUGAUUGUCUUUGUCUAAAUCGAUGGUUAAUUGAAUAACUGUGUCAGUACAGUUAAGGCUUCUAGCCUUGUUGAUAAUCUCAUUUACAUUAUCAUCAAAAUCUGACUCUUGGUAAGUGAAGAAAAGAACAAGUGCAAAGGUAGGCGGAGAAGAAGGCUAGAGCAGUGUAGUGAGUAAAGGGCAGGAUAGAGAGAGAAGGCAAGUAAUUUAGUGGUUAGAAGAAGUAGUGGAUGAAGGUUGAUGAUAACCAACAAGGUUGGGCGGUGUAGGAUCGAU